rnacentral:misc_RNA from 1 species
GGAACACAAUGGAAAUGAAGGUAAAAUCUAGUGUGAAAUUACUUGAACAAAUGCUGAAAUGUGACCUAUAUGGAUUCUUAGAAUUGAGAGCCACAUCUCUAAGCAGCUACAAGGUUUUGAUUCAGAUAUGUAAUAUAAAUGAGAGUGUGAUUAAGCAACAUGAUUACACUAAUCCACAUAUCAAUUGUUACAUUUGAAGUGAUUUAAAUCAAUUACCAUCACAGUGAUGUCAUCUAGACUACCUCUUUUCACAGCAAGGUUGACUAGCUCUUUACAAGCAGCAACAAGCCCCCCCAUAGAGGCAGGUCCCCUCUUAUGGACACCGUUUUCUUUAUUAGGUGAAUCAAUAUUGGUGUUUAUUCGCUUGAACAAUGAAAUUCUUCUUGACUUUGAUGGAGGACUUUCAUUUUCACAUUUGAAGUCAUCUUGAAUGUCUUUCAAGGUACCAACUGUCUGCUUGUUUGUUGGUGACUGUUUUGAUUCCUUUUGAUGCUUUACCAGGGAAACCCUUCGCAACUUUGAUGAAGGACUUACAUUUACACAACCAAAAUAAACAUCAUCAUCUUUUUGGAUAUCUCCUGUGGAUCCCAAUUUCUUCUCAGGCUUACACAAUGAAAUCACUGUAUCAACAGCUUCUUGGUUCCCAACCUCUUCCCAUAGUCCAUCAGAAGCUAAAACUAGAAAUUCCAUGUCUGAGGUCAACUGUAAGAUCAUUGUAUCAGGCUCAGCCAGCACCCAGUCCUUCAGGUGAGCAUCUCCAAUGCUUCUAGAAACAGAAAGUACGCCAUGAACUCUCCAAGCACCUCGAUGGAUCUCAACGUAUCCUCCCUUAUUCUCAAUUCUUUUUCGUUCAUCCUCCUGUUCUGCUCUAUGAUCUUUCGUAAGUGCUUCAGCCAUUCCUCCUCUACAAAGAACAGCCCUGCAAUCUCCCAAGUUUGAGACAACAACCUCCUGCCCUUCAAUCAAGGCUGUGACACAGCAGGCACCACUGACUACACCCUGCAUUAUUCAUAUUACUCAGCAUGAUAGUACAUGAUGGCACAGAAGGACCAAGAAAAGCUCUGUUAUAAGCUAAAAAUUAUAAUUACGGAGUUAUAUUAACCAACAGAUCAUAAUGAGCACAGAAUUUCUAUCGCAGUGGAACAUAAUCCAAACCAAUUUCCUAGAAGGUUUCCUAAUCACCAUCUAUAAGAGCAAAGCAUCAUCUUUUUCUUUGAGUUCUUACUGAAAAAGCAUGAAUAAUAGAACAGAAUAUGAUUGAAGAAUAUAAACAAGUGAAAGGAAAUGUGAGAUUGCAAAUAUAUCUGUUUCAAGAACUCUUGGUCUGUUUUCAAGUAUCCAGCUUUAACAGCUUCCUCCUUCGAUACAUUUCCUAUACCAUUCACCAUCAUUUCAAGAAUGUUAGUGUGCAAAUUCUCUGCAACAAACUCCGCUGCCUUUUUCCCUCCAUGCCCAUCAUAAACGCCAAAAAACCCUUUGUUUGAGGUGUCAUUUAAGGAAGAAACGAUCUUGUGGGUAUCUUCCAUGAACUUUUUAUUGCCUUUAAUAGCAGAGACACCAACACCAAUCCCACUGAAACAAAUGGGAUCAUUUCUUGGGGUGAGGUCUUUGAACUUGAGCUUAUCAGCCUGGAUUUCUUGCAACACAUUUGGGAUCUCAAUCUUGGGUGGUCUCUUUCGCUUCAAAGAACAAGAAACAACUGGAGUAGAAGGCAUUUCUGUGGUGGGUUUCGUGUUCAUUUUUUUGGCUAAAACAGCACAAACGAGCAGAGAGAGAGAGAGAGAGAG